GCAUUGGGAGAGUCUUUAGGGAAAGGUGAUGAUCAUAAAGACAUGGACAUCAUUACCAAAUUGCUUAAGGUAUUUCUUUGUGUUUGAGCUAAAGAACUGAAUGCCAGAGAUUACUGAAAAGCGCAGUGUGCAGGGUAAACUGAACAGUGCUACACUGAAACUGACCGAGUCCUAUCUCAGACCGCUUUCCAGAAAGCUACAGAAAAGGGUGAGGUUUCUCCAAAAAUGCUUUUAUUAACUGAUUUUUUAAAAAUAGAAUAUAUAAAAUCAAAAUAAAUGUAGUAACUACAUACUGUAACUUCCAAAAUUAAACUUUUCUAGAAUUUUCCUGCUGGUAUUAAAGAACCCAUAAUAGAUAUUAUUAAAUUCAUGUCACACAGAGAAUAUGUGAAGCUAUGUUACCAUGCUGUCCAUUGGAACUAUGGUUAUGAGCCUAUCUAGGUUUAUAUAUAAUACAUUCAUUUAGUGUGGGAAUGUUUUACAUAGGAGAUUUAAGAAUAAAUGUGAAAUGAAUUAG